UGGGGAAUCUUGCGCAAUGGGCGAAAGCCUGACGCAGCGACGCCGCGUGGGUGAUGAAGGCCUUCGGGUUGUAAAGCCCUGUGGGGAGGGACGAACAAGUUGCGACCUAACACGUCGUGACCUUGACGGUACCUCCUUAGCAAGCACCGGCUAACUCUGUGCCAGCAGCCGCGGUAAGACAGAGGGUGCAAACGUUGCUCGGAAUUACUGGGCGUAAAGCGCAUGUAGGCGGCUCCGUAAGUCGGAUGUGAAAUCCCUCGGCUUAACCGAGGAAGGGCAUUCGAUACUGCAGAGCUAGAGUAUCGGAGAGGGUCGUGGAAUUCCUGGUGUAGAGGUGAAAUUCGUAGAUAUCAGGAGGAACACCGGCGGCGAAGGCGGCGACCUGGACGAAUACUGACGCUCAGAUGCGAAAGCGUGGGUAGCAAACAGG
rnacentral:rRNA from 1 species